rnacentral:rRNA from 1 species
CGAAGGGGGCUAGCGUUGUUCGGAAUCACUGGGCGUAAAGCGCACGUAGGCGGAUGUGCCAGUCAGGGGUGAAAUCCCGGAGCUCAACUUCGGAACUGCCUCUGAUACAGCACGUCUUGAGUCCGAUAGAGGUGGGUGGAAUUCCUAGUGUAGAGGUGAAAUUCGUAGAUAUUAGGAAGAACACCGGUGGCGAAGGCGGCCCACUGGAUCGGUACUGACGCUGAGGUGCGAAAGCGUGGGGAGCAAACAGGAUUAGAUAAACCCUGGUAGUCCACGCCUUAAACGAUGGAUGCUAGCCGUCAGCAAGCAUGCUUGUUGGUGGCGCAGCUAACGCAUUAAGCAUCCCGCCUGGGGAGUACGGCCGCAAGGUUA